UCCUACCAAACCUAUACUGAAGAAGCUCCAAAGGAACACAGAUCAGAUUUUCUCUACUAUGUGUUUUAACUGAUAGUCAUGUCACAAUGCUUACAAGAACCCUGGUAUUUUUGUAGAAGCUGUAACCAGUGUGAUGAAACAGUUCUCAUCAAGGUAUUUGGAGAAGGGACUAAGCUCAUAGUAAUUUCUCCAGACAAAGCUGGCUCUCCCCCUAAGCCCACAGUUUUUCUUCCUUCAGUCAAUGAAAAGGAACCUCAUGGAAUUGGAACAUAUAUUUGUCUUCUUGAAAAUUUUUUCCCUGAUGUUAUUAAGGUAGACUGGAAAGAAAAGAAUGGCAACAAAAUCCUGCAGUCGCUGGAGACAAGGCCCAUAAAGACUGAUGAUAAUAAGUACAUGAAAUUAAGCUGGCUGACAGUGACUAAAACUUCAAUGGAUAAAGAACACGUUUGUGUUGUUAAACAUGAGUUUAAUAAAGGAAGGAAAGACCAAGAGAUUGUUUUUCCUUCAAUAAAUGAAGUGAAAAAGCGUUUACCGAACACCAACCAAGAUGCAACAGAAGGAAAAGAAGGUGAUCUUGAAGUGAUAGGAGAUGAAAGUGAGCUACUGCAGCUUCAGUUCAACUACAUCACUGCCUAUUACACCUACGUCCUCCUCCUUCUCAAGAGCAUGGUCUACUUUGCCAUCAUCGCCUUCAGUCUGUUCAGUGCAGGAGUUUGGAGCUAUGGAAAGAGUCCAUAACAUAGUGGCCAAAGGCUUCAACUUUUGCUACCACUUACUGUCCCUGAGAGUGUCUGCUGAGGAUCAGCUGGGCUGUUCUUCUGAGUU